rnacentral:rRNA from 1 species
CCUACGGGCGGCAGCAGUGGGGAAUAUUGCACAAUGGGGGAAACCCUGAUGCAGCGACGCCGCGUGAGUGAAGAAGUAUUUCGGUAUGUAAAGCUCUAUCAGCAGGGAAGAAAUAAAGUCCUUCGGACUUUGGACGGUACCUGACUAAGAAGCCCCGGCUAAAUACGUGCCAGCAGCCGAGGUAAUACGUAGGGGGCAAGGGUUAUCCGGAUUUACUGGGUGGAAAGGGAGCGUAGACGGCAGCGCAAGCUUGGAGUGAAAUCCCAUGGCUUAACCAUGGAACUGCUUUGGAGACUGUGCAGCUGGAGUGCAGGAGAGGUAAGCGGAAGUCCUAGUGUAGCGGUGAAAUGCGUAGAUAUUAGGAGGAACACCAGUGGCGAAGGCGGCUUACUGGACUGUAACUGACGUUGAGGCUCGAAAGCGUGGGGAGCAAACAGGAUUAGAUACCCGUGUAGUC